UUUGGAAGGACUAAGAAGCCAAAGCCAGUUUGAAGACAUGAGAUCAAGCUACAUUAGAGAGCUCAUCAAAGCAAUUGGUUUGAGGCAGAAAGGAGUUGUCUCUAGUUCACAGCGUUUCUAUCAACUUACAAAACUUCUGGAUAGCUUGCAUGAUGUAAGUAUUUUGCUCCCCAGGAUAUCAGUACUUGUUCUCUAGAUUUAUCUAACUUUUUAAAUGUUAAAUCUAAAUUUUACUUGAUAUGUUUUCAUCAAAUUUGUAUUUGUGCUCCUGGUUUAAAGAGUUCUGAUAUCAUACUGUUCUGAAUUUAUAUUGGGCUUUUUUUUCAUUUUCAGUGUAGAUCACUGAAAUAGACCUUUAUUAGUAUUUAUAUAACCGAAGAGUAAUUUAAUGGCUGGUAGGAAUUAGGAUACAUUUCCCAGAAUAUGUUCUAAAAUAUUUUGCUUAAAACUAGCAAAGUUUUUUAUAUAGGUAAUAAAAGCUAAAGUAUGGAUGUAGAAAAUAAUAAUCUACCAUUGAUGUGGAAUUCUAAAUAACGUGGCUGUUGGGAAAUCAGGCACUAUAUAGCAAGAGCUAAAAUUUGCAUGCUUUUCAAGGUUUUAUUUUUCAGAAUUUAUCUUAAAGACAUAAUUAGGCAAGAAUUUAAGUUUUUAAAUUAUUUCUGGAUUUUUUUUUCUCUGCUGUGAUGAACAACCCAAAAAUGUCCAACACCAGAACUGGAUUAUUAAAACAAAACAUAUGUGGUUAGUCAAGACAUAUCGAAUAGAAGUUUUUAUUGCUGCAAUGCUCAGAAACCACAUUAAAAUGACAGUUAAGCCAUAAAAAAGGCUAUCUACUCACCAGGUCAACUUUUGAGUCCUUACUUCUGAAUAUGAAUAGAUUGCCAAGAGUGUGAGCUAUUCAAGUGAAGCCUCUAAAAUGCAAAGCAGACAACUAAAUAAGCAGGAAAAAAGCAGCUUGAAGGAACAAACAUCAGUACAGACAACAAAAGAACACUUUUAAGCCCCUCAGAGAAAUAAGAAUGAUAUUUUGUCUAAGAAAGGAGAAUUUAAAAAAUGAACAUUAAGCAAGAAAAAUGCUUUUGGAUGAUUAAAUAUAGAGAAGAAAUUAAAAAUUCAACAAGAGGGAUAAAAUAUAAACUCUCAGAAAAUAAUUUAAAAAUUAAUUCAAGAAAAAUUAGGAGAGAGAGCAAAUUUAAGGAAUUAAUCUAGGGAUUUCCACCCCCAAUUAAUAGGAAUUUCCAGAAGACAGAUAAGAGAAAAAUCAAAAGAGGAAAUUACAUAAUAAUCAAAGUUACUGGAACUGCAAAAUAUGAGCUUUAAACUCUAUGGGCAUGGUGUACAGGUAUUGCAUACUUGAACAAGGGUACAUUAUUAUAAAAUGUGAAUUCAGAAUAUCAGAAAUGAGGAGACUAUCCUAAAUAUACUAGAGAUCAAAAGAAAAAGUCACAAACAAAUUCUCCACAUUAAGAAUGACAUUGGACUUCUCAAAAGCAACACUGGAAGCCAGAAGAUGGAACGAUGCAUGAGCAAUGCCUCUAGAAUUUUGAUGGAAAAGAAAAUUUAUUAAAGAAUUAGAUUUCAAGCCAAUUCACCAAACGAGGCAAUGAUAAUAUAAAAGUAGUAUUUCUACUCAUGCAGUCUCAGAGUUUAUGUCAAAUAUAACCUGUCCUGAGAACUACCACAGAAUGUGUCACAGCAAAACAAUAAGCCAAAGAAGUACAGGAUCCAACCCAAGAGUGAUGCCAAAGAUGCCCUAGUAAUUGUACAGAGAAGUCUAGAUUGGAACAGCAAGACAAAGUGUUCUGGGAUACCAGCUUCAGGAAUUAUUAUUGGGAGACCGCCGGUAGGCAUAACCAUAGCAAGGUAAAUUUUUUCAUUGCUAUCAAGAAAAUUUGACUAUGGCUUUGUACCAAUAUGAAGAAAUAAAGCAAACAAGAAUACUAGGGGAUUAGCUCUUACAACUUAAAAACAAGUCAUGUAAAGAAGGAAAUGUAAUCCAGAAGGGAAACAAUACAAAUCUUUGUAAUAUAAUUGCUGGAAACUGAUUUAGCCAAAUAUUGAAAUGUAUGCAGAGAAUGGGGAGAAGAGAAAAUAUGGUUGAGGAGCAGAGUAUGUAGUAUAAGAGAACUAAAUCCUCAGUUUUCAUAGCACGACCUCAAUAAUGUCAGAAUGAAAAGAAAAUGUUUAUUUGAGAUACAGAUAUAAAUGUCAAAAGACACAGAUUUUAAAAAUAAAGAAAGUUAGUUGUGUCUGGGGAACUGAAAUAAGAAGUGCAUCAGAAGUGCAGAGGAAUUUUGUUGCUGCUGCUACUGCUGUUUUUGUUAUAAACCUUGAAGUUCUUUUUAACUUUCAAAAUCACAUACAUGAAUUACUUUAAUAAAAAUUAAAAUUUGAUUAAAAUGUUGAGUUAUUGAUAUAAAGACAUCAACAUAUAAUUAUGUGAAAAAGCCAGAUUGACAAAUAGAAUUUAUGUCAUAAUUUCAGUUAAAAAAUAUAUGUGUAAUAUUGUCAAUAGGCUUAUGUAUGCAUAUAUAUAUAUAUAUAUAUAUAUAUAUAUAUAUAUAUAUAUAUAAAAGAGGAAAAAACUUGAAACUGUUUUGAAGCUGAAAUGUUCACUUUGGUUAUUUUAUGGAAACAUGGAUAAAUGUCAUUCCUUUAAAUCUUUCCUUAGUAUUAGAAUGUCGCAUCAUGAGUAUAUGAUACUUGCACAUUCUAGACAGUGAUGGGAAUUAUUUUCAGUUUGGAAGGAAGAAAGUCUUGACAAGUAUUUCUAUUGUUAGGAAUAUGUUAUGUUUGCAUAGCAUACAAAUCUACUUAUUUAUUUAUUUAUUUACAUUUCCUACCCAUUUGUUAAACUGACAGCUUGUCAAACAACUUCAUCUAUACUGCUUGAACACAUUUAUCCAGUCCCGGGCACUGAGUGUUGAAUUUCCAGAAAUGAUGUCUGAAGUUAUUGCUGCACAGUUACCCAAGAUCUUGGCAGGGAUGGUGAAACCUCUUCUCUUUCAUAAAAAGUGAAUGUCAGUUUUCUUUCAAAAAAUUAAAUCUGUGGUAUGUCAUUGUUUUGGUUAGGGUUAUGAGGUCUUUGGUUUUUAUAUUCUUCUGAACGCCUUACAUUUAUAACAUAUCAUAUUGUGUAAAUUUAUGAAAAAAAAUGUGAGAUUCUAACUUUCCUUUGUUAAGCAUCAUUCAAAUUUUAAAAGUGUCUUGUGUACCCAUAGUUUCUUUUAGAGUUUUUAAGACUGAAAGAUUGUUGAAGUAAAUUAUGUCUUAUCCAUAUUAUUUCAUACCAUUUAGGUGAGACUUUUUAACUUUUGCAUCAAACAAAUCUUCUACUUUAGAAAAAAAAUUCACAUGUAAUAAUAAAAGUCUAUUAUAUAUACUACUUAUGGAUAACUCACUUUACCUUCCUAGUUAUGCUUAGAGAAAUGAAUCUUUAAAUGGCAGGCAAACUUUAAACAAAAAUUUUAUAAUCUUAACUAGAUUUUCAAAAAUUUUUUAAUGGAAAAAAUAUAGAAAUGGAGUAUAAAACCAAAAAUGGUUUGAUGUUUCUCAAAGUAGGCAAAACAACUCACAUGUUAAGAUCAUUGUCCAGGCCAGAAAUACGGAUCUCUAGUAAAGAAAUUAAUAAGUAGCCCUGCUGUAGUAACAGUAUUGGAGCUUUUGUUGGCUUUUUAUUAAAUAUUUUGGGGGAGGGAAUUGUCCUCAAAUAAAAUAUUGCGAUUAGAAAAUAGAGGUCAGAAGAAUUUUGUGACCUAAUUCCAUUCCUUAUCAUUGGUGACAUGCAGAAAGUCACUCGAUCUUACUGAUUUUCAAUUUCCUGAUCUUUAAAAGUAAAAUGUAAGAAUAUCUUUCCUGCCAAAUGCUUCUUUUGGCCAGAGUUUCUUAUUAACAUCUUCUCAAACCAAAGAUAGAAGGAAGGGAAGGAGAAAAGGAGGAAAGAAGCUUAAAGGAAGAAAGGGAUAAAUAUAUAUAUAUUUUUUUCCUUCCCUCCAUUAUUCAAACAUUUGAGGAUGGUGUUUUUCAGUGAAAUAUAAUAGAUGAUUCUCAGGUUGAAAAAUUUUGUGAGUGCCUCUGAUCCAAAUCUAAAGGAUACUUCAGGAAAUAGAUGAAUCUCAGGUUGAGAGCUUCUGACCCAAUUCUAAGAGAGCUGCUUCAGGAAUUGCUAGAUAAUGGCUUAAAACAGUACACCCAAUUACAGUAACUAGAAAGCACACAAUUCACAUUGUUACUUGAAUUGAAAAUAUUCCUUUGGAAGACAAACAAGAGUAAUUUUGUCUGUGGUGAAUCACUGGAGAUACUUUUUUUACAAAAGAAAAAUAUAUAAAAGAAAAUAUAUACAUAUAUAUGUAUAUACACACACACACACACAUAUAUAUAUAUAUGUGUAUAUAUACAUAUAUAUAUAUAUAUUUUGUACUUGGUAUAUGUACCAGCUGUUCAUUAGACCUAUCUGGCACAUAGAAUGUGUACAUAUACCAAGUUCCUACUGCUGGUGAAAUGCAAUCAAAAUCAAUUAUUUCCUUUUAUAAAGUAAUUUAUAUCAAUUUUAGGCAUAUAUAUGUAUGUGCAAAAUUUUUAACAACUCAUAUUUUUUUCCUAAGUUUCUUCAAAAGUGAAAAUAUUGCUGUCUUACAAAUAAAACCUAUCUUCUUGUGUAAAUUAAUAAUUGCUAAUGUGAAUAUUAAACUUUAAAAAUAUAGAAAAAAUUUCUAUAUGUAAGUUUCUGAUUUCUGAAUGCAUUUUAAUUAUC
rnacentral:lncRNA from 1 species